rnacentral:precursor_RNA from 8 species
UAAUUGCAAAUAACAUGCGCUUUGAGGUUGGGAGCACUUGCCGUUUGCAAAUGUUGCCUUCAUUUCAUCUGCAAGGUAAAGUGCUGUCCAACUUGAUAGUGCGAACCCUCCGAGAGUAUU